UCCAACUUUGCCUUGAGGACCAGCAUCUCCAGGACGACCAGUAAGACCCUUUGAAAGGCACACAAAUUGUAGAGAUCAUCAGCAUCAUUCAGGAAGUGGGACGAAUCUCAAACAAAAUCUAAUAUAAUCAAUCACAUCAAAAUAACCACAUCAAACAUCUGGUUUGAGACUAAGAAGGGGAUAUGUGAGCAACAUUGUCUGUUUCUAAACUGGUAAUGAGUGAAGAUGCAGGACUCACUCUAGCUCCGGGGAGGCCAGACUCUCCUGUCCGUCCAGGGUCUCCAGUAGCACCUUUAGGACCAGCAGCACCAGGAACACCACGGUCACCAGGGGCACCCUGAAGAAGACAAGACAAGAGGAGGCUAGUUAAAUACCAAUCUGGACCCACCUUAGCACCAGCAAGACCAUCCUGACCUGGGAAACCACGGUUACCAGGAGCUCCCUGGAAAGGAUCAGAAACAAAUUUGUAUUGUGCAUAAAAUGGCAAGUAAUAAAGUCAUUCACAAUCUCACUUUUUCCCAAUGUUAUUGCACAUCCUGAUUACUCACUCUCUCUCCUGGAGGUCCGAGUGGUCCAGCAGCUCCAGGCUCUCCUCUGGCACCUCUCUUUCCUUCUUCACCAGAUGGACCAGGGGCACCUUGGGGACCAACAGGGCCCUGGAGAAAUCAAAUAUCUUCACCUUUGAAUCCAGGAAGACCAGGGUCUCCCUAAACAUGGCAAGAAGGAAGAAAGCCAUAUCAAUAAAUAAUCAUAGCACAAACAAGUCUUGAGGUUUCACAGAGUUUUAUUAUUCCCAAGUGACUUACGGACUGUCCCUUUGGCCCAAGAGGUCCUGUAGCUCCCUGUGGUCCAGGUGGGCCACGGGGGCCGGGGAAUCCAGGAGCACCAGCAAUACCAGAAGCACCCUUCAAGGAGGAAAGACAACAAAAUAACAAAAUAAAGUAAAACAGUAAUAUUGUGAAUAAUAAAAGGAACAAAAGGUAAUGGAGGACUUUUAAACCAUGAAUGACAGAGAAUGGACUUACAGCAGAUCCUUUAGCUCCUGGAAUACCAUCAGUACCGGGGUUACCCUAAUCCGGAAGAGAAGAAGAACCGUUGCAUCACAUUAUGUCGACAAUAAAUAAAUAACCUACCCAUUGUAAGAAUGGUACUGUUGUAUGUGUAAAUCUCAGGAUGAGUGAUGACAAACUAACCGAUGCU